CAAACCAUGGCAUAUAGACACAAAUUAUCCAAAAAAUAUAUCAAGAUAAGUAUAAGUCAAUAAAAGCGACCGUGCUAGAACCACGGGAUUCGAGGGAUGCCUAAUACCUUCCCCUCGGUCAACAGAAUUCCUUACCCGAAUUUCUGAUUCGCAGACCAAAUAAAGAGUCAUUUCCUUAUGAUUAGGGAUUAAACAAAAAGGUGACUUGGAACACCAUAACUCAAUUCCAAGUGGCGACUCUGA
rnacentral:lncRNA from 1 species